rnacentral:lncRNA from 1 species
UUUAUCAAUGGUGGAAAUUUUGUCUAUUUGAGUAUCAGAGCUUGAAAAUCUUCUGUUUUUGUUUGAAUUUCAUGUUUUUGUUUUGAUUCAAUUUUAUAUCUGUGAAUAUGUGAAGCCGCUUGAUGAUUUUUGGAUAAUAUUCUCACGACGGUCGUCUGAGGUACAUUCAUGUGCCUAACUGAUGAUAGAUCCAAUUUUUCUGAUGGUUUCUUCUUCUUUUAUGUUAUAGAAACCUUCAAUUACUAUUGAUUUUCAGAUUUGUGAUUCUUCGGAGCAAGCAUAAUGAUGAUGCUAAAUUUAUUCCGACUAUUCAUGAAAGGAAUACCAACCUCCUACUCAUUCUGAAUGCUUGCCUUUUUCUAAUUUUUAACUCUUAUUUGCAAAUUUAAACUGUUUUUGAUAUGUUUUAUUUAAGUCUGUGAAUCUAUCGGAACUCUAUGAUUUUGGCACGAUGAGGAUAAGUGUUCAUGAGACCGAAAGGUCAUUGAUAUCAUAAAAAAUUAACAAUUAGUCCUUUUCAUUCUGAGUGCUUUUUAAUUGUUCAUAAUAAAUCAUAAAAAUCCUUUUUUGUACAUUUUGAUUUGGUUAUGUUUUAUAAUGCAAGUUGUUUUGGUGAAUUAGAGAAGUAAGGGUCUGAAGUUUGACUCUUUGGCAACUUAUGCCUCAGGGAUGAAUGCAGCACCCUAUAUCAAUAUUCCUCUUGUUGAAAUUAUUGUGGGCUUUUUUGAUAAACCUGCUACAACAUCUUCGAGGGAAACACUUCAAUUAUACAUCAAGUACUAUUGUUGCACUCACUAUUUUCACGAGGUAGGGGUAACGUCUGUGUAUGUUGUGAUAUUUAGGUACCGUAUGAUGAUUUUUGGAUUAAAAUUCUCACGAUGGUCAUCUGAGGUACUUUUGUGUGCCUAACUGAUGAAACAUCCGAAUUUCCUGAUGGUCCUUUAUUUUAUUUUGUUAGAUUAAGAGCUUUGCUGUUUUUUUCGUUUAAAUUUUGUUAUAUUUAUGGUGGGAUCGAGCAUAAUGAUGAUUCAAAAUAUUUUCCGAUUUGUUCAUGAAAGGAAUACCAACCUCCUACUCAUUCUGAAUGCUCGAGUUUUCCUCUUAGCUUUGUUUUCCCUGUUUUUGUUUCCUAUUGGAUUCGAAAUCUUCACAUGCUUUUUUACUAUGCUUUGUAACUUGCUGUGUACAUAGUCUACAAAGUGAGUACUUUGCCUCAACGUCGGAUUUCCAACACAUUUAGUCGGCUCCAAUGUGGAUUGUUGCUUAAUUCUUGACUUGAAUUCGGAUUGUGUCUUAUGGAAACACUACUUAAAAUGUACUGUAUCAACUAUACUAGUGAAAUUUGCCCACACUGAAUAUGUAUCAUUGUGGGUAGUAUCAAUAUUAAUAGGGAAAAGGCUCAAAUAUGCCAUCGAACUUUUAGAAAUGGCUCAUUUAUGCCAUCC